CAUGAACCACAGUCCGCUGCUCCGCCAUACAUGACUUCCGUUGUGCGUGUGUGAUGUCACUGCUUCAGAAAGCCCCCGCCCCCUCAGCAACAAGUCAGAGUUCACGCACACUGCGAGUGCAGACAUGAGUCGGGCGCUUGCAUGUGUGCUGACGGCUGCUUGGAGCCUGGGAAUCAGUGGUCAAACGGUGCACCAGCCGGAACGGGACGUCCACGCCGAACUGUCGAACUGUCGUAGCUGCAGCUACGACAGUUCGACGUCAACCGACUACAUCUUCUGGUACAAACAAGAAGCCAACACAGCACCCGAGUUCAUCUUGAGCCGAUUUAAGAUCGAUCGAGGCAAGAUGGCAGAAAAGUACGCUGACAGGUAUCGCUGCAGCAUGGACGCCAGAGCUCGGCAAGCUCCUCUGCGCAUCGAGCGUGUGAAGCCCAGCGACUCGGGAUUCUUCUACUGCGCCCUGAAGCCCACGCUGACACAUCCACUGGCGUGCCUGCACAAAAACUCUUGCAACCGCCUCAUUUCAUAACAUCCAUUGGGGGAGUGGCCUCACAGGAAGAAAUGGGUCAAAUUGUCGCAGAGCUGCAACUUAGCAUGACAACAGGCUGUUUUCGUGCUCAAGGAGGAUAUUGUCUUGUCCCGCUGUGGCCCAAAGGGCCUAAAAACGUACUUUGUAACUCACUGA